rnacentral:tRNA from 1 species
GCGCCCAUAGCUCAAUUGGAUAGAGUGCCUGGCUACGGACCAGGAGGUUUCAGGUUCGACUCCUGAUGGGCGUGCCA